GACCGCGUAGCUCAGUGGCAGAGCAUUGGGCUAGUAUUCCAAAGGUCGUAGGUUCGAUACCCACCGUGAUCA